UAUUCAUGAGCAUCAAAGGAGUUUAAAGAGAUGUUAAUCACGGAGAAGGAAAGAAAGUUCGCCGCGUAUGGCGGCAGCCAAAUCUGAUUCAAUCAUAGCAGUCAAGUUUAGCCACUAAUAUGAAUAUGAAGACACGGAUCUAAGUCCUUCACAGGAAUCUGAAUAACUAAACGUAUUCGGAUCCAAAACUAUAACAUAUGUUUCAAAAAAAUAUAGAUUCCUUGUUGACUAAUAUUGUAGACAUCUCAUAAGGCCAUAACCAUUCUAACUAUUGCGUAUGGCUUAAUUAUGAGUUUGUAUAGUUUAUGUGCACUUUUCGUUAAAUAAUAUUUACAUACUUGAUUAGUUAAUGUUGGGAUGUUUUCUUCAUUAACUCAACAUGUAUGUUAAAAAAAAC
rnacentral:lncRNA from 1 species